GCAAGACUGACUCAGAUCAAUGCAGCCUACAAGGAUGUGCAGUCACAGAUGUAUUAGCACCAGCCUUCAAAGAAACCCCCUCAAGCCCAAAAACAACAAAAAAAAGGGGUCUUCGAAGGAUGACACUAGGUCCCAUGCUUGCUGCAAAAAAUAGUAACAGAAAAAUCUGCCCAAACAAGAUUCAAGGAAGACACUGAAGUAGACUCAGCCGAAUUCCCCAGGAAGAACAGAUUCCUCCAACAUGGAUAUUUUUUUUCUAAAUGGUUAUUUGGAGGCAACAGCUGAUAACCACAGCCCUGCAUGCACAGAUAAAAACGUGGCUCUGAGCAAUCUGCAGGAACGGAUGAACCGCUCUUCCUGCUGUGCGCGGCGCGACUGACCCUCGACCGGCUGUGAAACCAGUGCCUGGAGCAGGAUGUGAAGAUGGCCCAGAGAGUAAUUUUUAACCGCUAUCCUGGGAGGCUGGGAAGAACUAAGAGUACUUCUGUGUGUGCAACACUUCUCCACCCUCAGGACAAGAAAGAGCAUAUUGACUUUCUCUGCAGCCAGAGGGUAAAGAGUGGAAGGGAACACAGCCUUGGGGCCAUGCAAGAUCCCAAUUCUGAAGGAAAUAGGAUCAGGGACUGAAGCCCCUGGUGAAUCCACCCCAGCAUCCCAACAAAUCCCAUGUUCUGCAGCAUCAC
rnacentral:lncRNA from 1 species